GAUGAACGCUGACAGAAUGCUUAACACAUGCAAGUCAACCCGAGAGUACUUCGGUACUGAUAGGGUGGCGCACGGGUGAGUAACACGUGAAUAACCUGCCCUCAAGCCUGGGACAACUACUCGAAAGGGUAGCUAAUACCGGAUAAGCUCACAGUACAGCAUUGUACAGGGAGAAAAGCUAUAUGCACUUGAGGAGGGGUUCGCGUCCCAUUAGCUAGUUGGUGAGGUAAAGGCUCACCAAGGCGACGAUGGGUAGCCGGCCUGAGAGGGUGGACGGCCACAUUGGGACUGAGACACGGCCCAGACUCCUACGGGGGGCAGCAGUGAGGGAUUUUCGGCAAUGGGCGAAAGCCUGACCGAGCGACGCCGCGUGAGCGAAGAAGGCCUUCGGGUCGUAAAGCUCUGUCUAGGGGAAGAGUAAGGACGGUACCUCUGGAGGAAGCCACGGCUAACUACGUGCCAGCAGCCGCGGUAAGCUAGUCUACG
rnacentral:rRNA from 1 species